UAAGGAAUAUUGGUCAAUGGACGCAAGUCUGAACCAGCCAUGCCGCGUGAAGGAUGAAGGUCCUCUGGAUUGUAAACUUCUUUUAUAGGGGACGAAACCCGGGCAUUCUUGCCCGAUUGACGGUACCCUAGGAAUAAGCACCGGCUAACUCCGUG
rnacentral:rRNA from 1 species